AUUCUCACUGAUCGGAAUACUCA
rnacentral:snRNA from 1 species